rnacentral:misc_RNA from 1 species
AAUAUUAUACUCUCGGCGACGAGACUGUUGAUUCCAGCUCUCUCUAAUUGUCAAACUAUUUGAAUAAUUCUUUUAUCUCUUUAAUUGGAAAUGGAAACUAGCCUGAAGAUAAACUCCUGAAGAAGUAAACAACUUUUUUUCUUUUCAUUAUAGAAAGUUAAAUGGACAGAAUUUUCUCAAUUUUUCUCUAAAAAAAAACUCUACCUACUAAGUAUUUUGGCAUUAAAAGAAUAAUAAGUCAGCAAAAGCGUUUUGCAUCAAUUUAACAGGAAGAGAAACUAACCAAACUAACUAAAUAAAUUAAAUUCUUAUGUAUAUAUACAUUUAAAUGUAUAUGUGUAUAUGUAUACAUAUAUAUAUAUAUAUAUAUACUUGUUAUCAUCUCAAAUAAAGCUCUUCCUUAUUUGGUAAACGAGGAAGAAACGAGAAAAGUUUAAGAGGAAUAACAAAAAAAGAAAGAAAGAUAGCCUCUUUAGUAAUCAAUUGGGAGAAAAGAAGAAGACGUCAUCUCCAUUAAUUAUCAAUAAAAAAUAUUUUUUGUGCUUUUUUUUUUUAAAAAGAAAAAAAAGUUGAAAAAUUGUUUUUAUUAAGAUAAAUAAAAACAGAGAAAGAUAGAAGGAAAAGGAAAUUAAAAAAUUACAAGAAAAUACUAAUAAUACUGAUAACUUUUGAGGAUUUUUGAUUUACAUUUUUUUCAAAAGUUUUGUUUUUAUAUAAAUUUUGAAGAAGCAUCUGUAAAAGAAACGAGGAUUAAAACUAUUUCUUUAUUUAGAAAGGGAUUAAAAUAAUGUAAACAUUUUACCGGAGCGGAGAGAAACAGUUACAGAUAAUAACGAAAAAUGUUAAAUAAUUCGAAUGUUACUGCUCCUCCUUCUGAGAAAGUUGAAGAUCAGGAACUCGAAUGCAGUCGCGUAUUAUUUAUAAUCUAUGUUGGAAUAUUUGGGCCUAUAGUAAUAUUUGGUAUUAUAGGGAAUACCCUAUCCUUUAUGGUUCUGUCGUGGGAAAAGCAUAAUCGAGUUGCAACUUUUCUACUCCAAUGCCUAGCCUUGACAGAUUCCUUAUUUCUCUUCAUUUCCGGUAUAUGCCAAAUCUUUCCAGCCAUGACCAUAUAUUUACAGGCACUAUCCAUUAAGAAUAUGAUUCAACCCUACAUACAAGUUAUAUUUUGGCCUUUUGUUCACAUAACGCAAUUCUUAACUGUUUGGAUGACGGUUCUGGUCGCCUUUAAUAGAUACAUAGCAAUCUGUCGACCUUUUCGAGCCAAUCAGUUGUGUACAAAGAGGAAAGUACGGUUGCAAGUUGGUCUAUUGGUAUUAUUUAGUGUCGUCUACUGCAUACCAAGAUUCUUUGAAGUAAAACUGGAAUCUUUACCAAAUUCCACUUAUAUGGAAUCAAAACAGCGGGAUUUUGUUCAGAACAAAGUCUACAAAUAUACCUACGAAGUGGUUGUUUACUUACUAGUGGUUUUACUAAUACCAUUAAUCCUGCUCAUCUUCUUAAAUACCCACCUAAUAAGGGAACUUAUUGCGGCUCGUAAUCGAAGACUAAAACGGUCAAUUGGAGGAGAAGACGAUGACGAAGAGCAAAAUUUAACCCUAGUUAUGGUUGUCAUCGUGCUUGUCUUUAUCUUCUGUCAAACCCCAGCUUUUCUCAAUCAAUUACUAUUUGUAAUUAUCGGUCAUACACAAUACUAUUGCGUGUCAGCCUACUUUAUUUUCUUUCAAUGCUCUAACUUAAUAGUUUGCGCUAAUAGCGCAGCUAAUUUUGUCAUCUAUUACGCUUUUCGUAAGCAGUUCAGAGGCAGAUUGGCUGCUUUCUGCGGACGGAAAAGACUGUCCGAUUCCGCAUAUCAUCAAGUGGCUCUAGUGGAGAGAAAUGGUACGAGAAUAUCAGACAAUGGAGUUGAACGCCUCCACGAUCAUACAUGAGACUAAAUCAACCAUAAAACAUCGUUGAAACUUUAGAGGAAAGAGAAUAAUAAACUAAACGUUGACAAGAGAAAACAACCUGCAUCUUCCUCCGAUCUUUAAUCUCCCUAACCCUGUAACAUUUUUACAAAAAAAAAAGAAAUACUCUCUCUUAUCAUUUUUCACUUAACGUAUUCAAUUACAUUUGGCUUAAUCUAGAGAUCUAUCUAAUUUGCUUAUAUUAAUAUUAAUUAAAUUUUUGAAUAUUUUGUUCAUAGUUAAAUAAUUGAAGCUAUUCAAUUCAAACAACAACAACAAAAAAAACUUGUAAAAUUAAGAAAAAAAGACAACAAAAACAAUAAAAUAACUGAAUUAGAAAGUAGAAAUAUAGAAAGAUUUCUUUUUUUCUUCUUCAGCUUCCUAAUGAUUAUUAAAUUGAUAAAAAAAAACGAGAUAGAUAAAAGAAGGAAAGAAAUUUAGAUCAUCAUAGGCCUGUAUAAAAUAUUAAUGAUGUUACAUAAUUUAAAAUAAAAAUAUUCACAUUUAACUUGUUCAAAAACAAUUAAAUCUCUAUUCAGAAUAAAUGUGUAUAUAGACGAAAUGAGAAUAGGAAAAGUGAAGAAUGAGAAAAUUAGAAAGAAUUUAGAAUUAAUACAUAAAUAAUAUACAUUUAUAUGCUCUAUCUUUCUCCUACUCUGCAUCUCUUCUUCUUUUUCUAUAUCUCUCUUUUCUCUUUGCUAUCUUGUAUCUUCCAUUAAUGUUUUAUUUAUUUAUUAAAUAUACUAAUAUAUUUAUUAUUCUACUCUUAUAAGAAAACAGCUUUUACUUGAUUUAAAGUCUAUAGAAAUGCAUUCUUUCUAGAUUUAACCAUAUUUAGAAAGUUAUUUAACAUUCUGUAAAGAUUAGGGAACAAAAUACAUGUAUAUGUAAAUGAUUAACUAAUUUAUCAGAGUCAUAAAACUUGCGGAUAAAGGCAUUUAAAAUGAUCGAUAAGUGUAGGUUAUCUAUAAUAUCUUAUCAAAAAUAACACUUUUUAAUAUAUUUUAAUUGAAAUAUCGGUUAAUCGUCAUUAAGAUAAAGGAUUUAUUAACGUAUUAUAUAUGAUUUAGAAAGUAGUACUAACAGGAUUAUUUCUUUAUUACUUAUUACUUUUUAUCUUUGAAACUAUGCAAAAAAUAUUCAAUUUUAUUUUAACAUAAUUGUACAAAUUGUGCAAAAAUGACUUAAGAAUAAUAAUAAAUGUAUAUUUAUUUUUAUGUAAUUUGCUAUUUAUAUUCAAUACAAGAUUUUAAAU